rnacentral:rRNA from 1 species
CGGAGGAACAUUGUGGUUUAAUUCGAUGAUACGCGAGGUAACCUUACCUGGCUUAAAUGUAGAGUGCAUUUUUUAGAGAUAGAAAUUCCCUUCGGGGCUUUCUGCAAGGUGCUGCAUGGUUGUCGUCAGCUCGUGCCGUGAGGUGUCGGGUUAAGUCCCAUAACGAGCGCAACCCUUAUCGUUAGUUGCCAUCUGGUAAUGCAGGGGACUCUAGCGAAACUGCCACCGUAAGGUGAGAGGAAGGUGGGGAUGACGUCAAAUCAGCACGGCCCUUAUGUCCAGGGCUACACACGUGUUACAAUGGCCGGCACAGAGGGCAGCUACCUGGUGACAGGAUGCUAAUCUCGAAAACCGGUCUCAGUUCGGAUCGAAGUCUGCAACUCGACUUCGUGAAGCUGGAUUCGCUAGUAAUCGCGCAUCAGCCAUGGCGCGGUGAAUACGUUCCCGGGCCUU